rnacentral:rRNA from 1 species
AGCAGCCGCGGUAAUUCCAGCUCCAAUAGCGUAUAUUAAAGUUGUUGCAGUUAAAAAGCUCGUAGUUGAAUUUCGGGGUCGGUAGGUUGGUCAUGCCUCUGGUAUGCACUGGUCUCACUGAUUCCUCCUUCCUGAUGAGCCGUAAUGCCAUUAAUUUGGUGUUGCGAGGAAUCUGGACUGUUACUUUGAAAAAAUUGAGUGUUUAAAGCAAGCUGACGCUUGAAUACAUUAGCAUGGAAUAAUGGAAUAGGACGUUCGAUCCUAUUUUGUUGGUUUCUAGGAUUGACGUAAUGAUUAAUAGGGAUAGUUGGGGGCAUUAGUAUUCAAUUGUCAGAGGUGAAGUUCUUGGAUUUAUUGAAGACUAACUACUGCGAAAGCAUUUGCCAAGGAUGUUUUCAUUAAUCAAGAACGAAAGUUAGGGGAUCGAAGACGAUCAGAUACCGUCGUAGUCUUAAACCAUAAACUAUGCCGACUAGGGAUCGGAUGAUGUUAAUUUUUAAUGACUCU